rnacentral:rRNA from 2 species
GAACGUCGUGAGACAGUUCGGUCCCUAUCUGCCGUGGGCGCUGGAGAAUUGAGGGGGGUUGCUCCUAGUACGAGAGGACCGGAGUGAACGCACCACUGGUGUUCGGGUUGUCAUGCCAAUGGCAUUGCCCGGUAGCUAAGUGCGGAAAAGAUAAGUGCUGAAAGCAUCUAAGCACGAAACUUGCCCCGAGAUGAGUUCUCCCUGACUCCUUGAGAGUCCUGAAGGGACGUUGAAGACUACGACGUUGAUAGGCCGGGUGUGUAAGCGCAGCGAUGCGUUGAGCUAACCGGUACUAAUGACCCGUGAGGCUUAACCUUA